rnacentral:rRNA from 1 species
UACGUAGGGGGCUAGCGUUGUCCGGAAUCAUUGGGCGUAAAGCGCGUGUAGGCGGCCUUGUAAGUCCGUUCUGAAAGCCCGGGGCUCAACCCCGGGAGGCGGAUGGAUACUGCAAGGCUCGAGUCCGGAAGAGGCGAGUGGAAUUCCCGGUGUAGCGGUGAAAUGCGCAGAUAUCAGGAGGAACACCGGUGGCGAAGGCGGGUCUCUGGGCCGAUACUGACGCUGGAGGAGCGAAAGC